GUUACGUUAGUAUAUGUAAUAAUACAUUUGAUUUCCAAUCAAAUAAACUUUCAGGUGUGAGGACGUAAUA
rnacentral:tRNA from 1 species